GCCCACCUGCUCCUCCCUUCUUUUAACUCACUAUUCUCACCUGAAUGAAUUAUGAUGGCUCCUCCUGUGAAGGUGCACAUCUUAUAUUUUUCCUGUCUCUUUGAUUAAAGAUGACUUGGCUUAUAGGUAGUGAGAUGACUGGGUCAGAACCAGGAACCUGCAAGCAAGACAUAAGAAGUUUGAGAAGUAAAGUUGAAAAUGCUUUGUGAUGUAGAGACUAAAGAAUGGAACACAGAGUCCUACACUUGGCUCUGAGUCCUCCUGAGAUUUACCAACCUCUGACCCGGGGCUAUUUGCCUAAACCCCUGGAUCUUCCUUUCAUCAUCUCUGCAGUUCCCUCAUCCAGUUUCAACUCAACUUUGAUCAAACAUGUGUUGCUCCCUCAGACAUUUGUCUGGAAAUACUGAGUAUGUGACUCAGGAACAAACAAAAGUUCCAGCUUAUUACUUUGACUUAGGGUUUCAUUAGAACUUUACCAGAAAAGUUCCUUGUCUCCAACAGAAGUUAACUCCAUAGAAUGAUCUCCUACUGGACCUGAGAUGAUUCUUCCCUCAAUUUCAACUGAUUCAUAUCCUUCCUCAACGGCUGACUCAGAGUCAUGACUCAAUAAUGACGACAUCAUUUUAAGCUUAUAAAAUUUGAAGAGAACCAUGGACAGAAAUAGAAGGGGAAAACAUGUAAAAUGAAUGAUAGGAAUAAAAAGAAAACAUACC
rnacentral:lncRNA from 1 species